rnacentral:rRNA from 1 species
AGUGAACGCUGGCGGUAGGCCUAACACAUGCAAGUCGAACGGCAGCACAGUAAGAGCUUGCUCUUACGGGUGGCGAGUGGCGGACGGGUGAGGAAUACAUCGGAAUCUACUUUUUCGGGGGGGAUAACGUAGGGAAACUUACGCUAAUACCGCAUACGACCUACGGGUGAAAGCAGGGGAUCUUCGGACCUUGCGCGAUUGAAUGAGCCGAUGUCGGAUUAGCUAGUUGGCGGGGUAAAGGCCAACCAAGGCGACGAUCCGUAGCUGGUCUGAGAGGAUGAUCAGCCACCCUGGAACUGAGCCACGGUCCAGACUCCUACGGGAGGCAGCAGUGGGGAAUAUUGGACAAUGGGCGCAAGCCUUAUCCAGCCAUACCGCGUGGGUGAAGGAGGCCUUCGGGUUGUAAAGCCCUUUUGUUGGGAAAGAAAAGCAGCAGGUUAAUACCCCGCUGUUCUGACGGUACCCAAAGAAUAAGCACCGGCUAACUUCGUG